CAUGUACUCCCUCCGUCCCGAAGUUCUUGUCUUACAUUUGUCUAGAUACGGAUGUAUCUAAUACUAAAACGUGACUUGAUACAUCCGUAUUUAGACAAAUCUAAGACAAGAAUUUUGGAACGGAGGAGUAUACA
rfam:Triticum urartu cultivar G1812 contig290974, whole genome shotgun sequence.